rnacentral:rRNA from 1 species
UAGAUACCCUAGUAUAAUAAAUAUAUAUUAUUUUAUUGAUUAUUAUGAGUUUAGAAAAUUAAUAAAUUUGGUGGUUAAUUUAAUUUUUAGAGGAGCUUGUUGAAGUUAAGAAUUUACUCUAUAUAUUUAAUUUUAAUAGGUGUUUAUUCAUCUCCGUUAAAUUGGAAUAGUAAAAUAAAUUUUUAUUUAGGAUAACAGGUCAAGAUGUAGCUUAUUAAAAUAUAAUAAAAUAAUUAGCUACAUUUAUAUAAUAGUUUUGGCUUUAUUCUGGAAAGUGGGUAAUAAAAUUGAAUUUAUUUGUAAUGGUAUAAAUUAAUAAGCUUACAUGAAAAAGUUUAAUUGAUAUACAGAUUGCCCGUCACUUCUAGGUAAUUUUAUGAAUAAGUCGUAACAAA